rnacentral:rRNA from 1 species
AGAAUCAACGCUGGCGGCGUGCCUAACACAUGCAAGUCGAACGAGAAAGUGGAGCAAUCCAUGAGUAAAGUGGCGACCGGGUGAGUAACACGUGACUAACCUACCUUCGAGUGGGGGAUAACCUCGGGAAACCGAGGCUAAUACCGCAUAACAUCGCAAGAUCAAAGCAGCAAUGCGCUGGAAGAGGGGGUCGCGGCUGAUUAGCUAGUUGGCGGGGUAACGGCCCACCAAGGCGAAGAUCGGUAGCCGGCCUGAGAGGGCGCACGGCCACACUGGAACUGAAACACGGUCCAGACUCCUACGGGAGGCAGCAGUGGGGAAUUUUGCGCAAUGGGGGAAACCCUGACGCAGCAACGCCGCGUGGAGGAUGAAGCCCCUUGGGGCGUAAACUCCUUUCGACCAAGACGAUAAUGACGGUACUGGUGGAAGAAGCACCGGCUAACGUCUGCGCCAGCAGCCGC